GACUUUUGGUUUUCUUCAUCUAGAGUCUAGACGCCUCCUCCCUCUUUAGAUUUUCGAGUCUCGGGAGAAAACCCAACUUUUAUCUGUAAAAAUCGAUUCUGCCUCUUCUUAGCAAAACUAAAUAAGCUGCAAUUCUGAUGAUAUUUGUGAUGAAACACUCAAAGCCAAAUACCCAUCAGUUUGCCUACAAAAAAAUAAUUUGAGUCUUACAAUCGCUGUUCAUGAUUUGAUUGAGUUUUGAUUCUUCAUUAUGGAUGAUCAUGAUGGAUAAGGUGGGAUUCAAGGUUAAUGAGGAGGUUUAUGGGCGUUUUGGAGUGAAAACUUUGUUUGUACUGACGGGUACCCUGCACAUGGUUUGAAUUAUCAUUUAGGGCGUUGCCGGUUGAAUUAUCACCUUCUGUUCUCCAGGCUCUUCGGGAACAAAAUUGGGGACAGGCUUGCAGCAGUCUUGAUGAAGAUCUAUAAAAGAUUUGUUCCCAUGUCAAUUAUCAUGCAUUAAGAUUCAACUAACCUAUAGAAGAACUUGGUAAAAAGUGGUAAUGAGAAUGUCGUCUUAUUGCUAGAUCAUGUGCAAUCUGCAAGGCAGUGGAAAUCGAGCUUCAAUAAGAGAUUUAAAGAACCGGAUAAGAAAGGCAUACACAUAUUGUGGAGGAUGGCAAUUUUUUUUGUUUGAUAUGAUUGCAGAACUAGAUUUUUCAAGGUUCAUAGCGACCCAUUAUGAAUUGACAUGUAAUUUCUGUUGGAUUUCUUAUGUCUCGACCGACGGUGAUUUAUAUUAAGCCGGAAGUGCUGCUGGAAAAGGCAUUUGUUGAAUUCUUCUGUCCUGUUCACAUCAGAAGGUCUAAUGCAGUCUGUAAAGUGAAAGAAAUUAGCCAUUAAUUAGAGUGAAACUAAAAUUGGGAAGACAAUUACUCCCAGUCUCUGCGUGGUUAUGCUUUUUUAUUUUGGAUUUAGAAAGUUUUUUGAAUUUUCGUCAUAUUUUGGGUUUAGAACGUUUUUAAAAUCUUGAUCUGUCAGUAUCUCACUUUGAGGUAUCAUUUCUGUAAGCUAACAGUACAAUCACACCAUAUUUUGAAAA